AUGAGAAAAAAAAGAUCUCCCUACGAGACUUCUUCCUCCUCCCGAUUGGAGAUAGUCCUAGCGCUCCUCCUCCUCAUCGUUCCUCCUCCUCCUCUCCCAUCUGCCAUUGGAGAGAGCCCUAGCGCUGAACCUCAUUGGAGUCCUCCUCCUGUCCCAUCUGCAGUCUUUAUGCAACAAUCAUCUGAUGGGAUCCAACCAGCCUCUUCCCAAUCUCCUUAUUCUACUAUCGCUUGCAUCUCCUUUAUCCCAAGCUCCCAACGACGAUGCAAUUCAUGUUGGCUGAGGAGGAGGUCCUUCAAUCACCUUAGCUUCUGUGCCCCGACGAAACAGAAACUGACAUUGGGCGAUGCAGUGGAGAAAAUCAAGUUGAGAAUAAUUCAGUACCUGGCCGCAGCCGCAAGACUCCGAUUGGCGAGGCGAUCUGUAAGGAACAUGUGCUAA
rnacentral:rRNA from 1 species